rnacentral:rRNA from 1 species
ACGGAAGGCAGCAGUGGGGAAUAUUGCACAAUGGGCGAAAGCCUGAUGCAGCGACGCCGCGUGAGUGAAGAAGUAUCUCGGUAUGUAAAGCUCUAUCAGCAGGGAAGAAAAUGGCGGUACCUGACUAAGAAGCCCCGGCUAACUACGUGCCAGCAGCCGCGGUAAUACGUAGGGGGCAAGCGUUAUCCGGAUUUACUGGGUGUAAAGGGAGCGUAGACGGUUUGGCAAGUCUGAAGUGAAAUGCGGGGGCUCAACUCCUGAACUGCUUUGGAAACUGUCGAACUAGAGUGCAGGAGAGGUAAGUGGAAUUCCUAGUGUAGCGGUGAAAUGCGUAGAUAUUAGGAGGAACACCAGUGGCGAAGGCGGCUUACUGGACUGUAACUGACGUUGAGGCUCGAAAGCGUGGGGAGCAAACAGGAUUAGAUACCCUGGUA